UACGUAGGGUGCAAGCGUUAAUCGGAAUUACUGGGCGUAAAGCGUGCGCAGGCGGCUUUGCAAGACAGAUGUGAAAUCCCCGGGCUCAACCUGGGAAUUGCGCUUGUGACUGCAAGGCUGGAGUGCGGCAGAGGGGGAUGGAAUUCCGCGUGUAGCAGUGAAAUGCGUAGAUAUGCGGAGGAACACCGAUGGCGAAGGCAAUCCCCUGGCACAACACUGACGCUCAGGUGCGAAAGCGUGGGGAGCAAACAGG
rnacentral:rRNA from 1 species